rnacentral:rRNA from 1 species
UACAGAGGGGGCAAGCGUUGUUCGGAAUUACUGGGCGUAAAGGGCGCGUAGGCGGCCUGUUAAGUCAGACGUGAAAUCCCUCGGCUCAACCGGGGAACUGCGUCUGAUACUGGCGGGCUUGAAUUCGGGAGAGGGAUGUGGAAUUCCAGGUGUAGCGGUGAAAUGCGUAGAUAUCAGGAAGAACACCCGUGGCGAAAGCGGCUCUCUGGAACGGUACUGACGCUGAGACGCGAAAGCGUGGGGAGCGAACAGG